rnacentral:rRNA from 1 species
GAUGAACGCUGGCGGCGUGCCUAACACAUGCAAGUCGAGCGAGAGUUUGAGGAACGAGCCUUCGGGUAAGGGAAUCGAAUGAAAGCGGCGGACGGGUGAGUAACGCGUGGGUAACCUGCCCUAUGGAGGGGGAUAACGCAGAGAAAUUUGCGCUAAUACCGCAUAAGCGCACAGUAUCGCAUGAUACAGUGUGAAAAACUCCGGUGCCAUAGGAUGGACCCGCGUCUGAUUAGCUAGUUGGUGAGGUAAAAGCUCACCAAGGCGACGAUCAGUAGCCGACCUGAGAGGGUGAUCGGCCACAUUGGGACUGAGACACGGCCCAAACUCCUACGGGAGGCAGCAGUGGGGGGAUAUUGCACAAUGGGCGAAAGCCUGAUGCAGCAACGCCGCGUGAAGGAAGAAGGUUUUCGGAUUGUAAACUUCUAUCAGCAGGGACGAAAAUGACGGUACCUGACUAAGAAGCCCCGGCUAACUACGUGCCAGCAGCCGCGGUAAA